rnacentral:rRNA from 1 species
GAGUAAUGUCUGGGAAACUGCCUGAUGGAGGGGGAUAACUACUGGAAACGGUGGCUAAUACCGCAUAACGUCGCAAGACCAAAGAGGGGGACCUUCGGGCCUCUUGCCAUCAGAUGUGCCCAGAUGGGAUUAGCUUGUUGGUGAGGUAACGGCUCACCAAGGCGACGAUCCCUAGCUGGUCUGAGAGGAUGACCAGCCACACUGGAACUGAGACACGGUCCAGACUCCUACGGGAGGCAGCAGUGGGGAAUAUUGCACAAUGGGCGCAAGCCUGAUGCAGCCAUGCCGCGUGUAUGAAGAAGGCCUUCGGGUUGUAAAGUACUUUCAGCGGGGAGGAAGGUGUUGUGGUUAAUAACCGCAGCAAUUGACGUUACCCGCAGAAGAAGCACCGGCUAACUCCGUGCCAGCAGCCGCGGUAAUACGGAGGGUGCAAGCGUUAAUCGGAAUUACUGGGCGUAAAGCGCACGCAGGCGGUCUGUCAAGUCGGAUGUGAAAUCCCCGGGCUCAACCUGGGAACUGCAUUCGAAACUGGCAGGCUUGAGUCUUGUAGAGGGGGGUAGAAUUCCAGGUGUAGCGGUGAAAUGCGUAGAGAUCUGGAGGAAUACCGGUGGCGAAGGCGGCCCCCUGGACAAAGACUGACGCUCAGGUGCGAAAGCGUGGGGAGCAAACAGGAUUAGAUACCCUGGUAGUCCACGCCGUAAACGAUGUCUACUUGGAGGUUGUGCCCUUGAGGCGUGGCUUCCGGAGCUAACGCGUUAAGUAGACCGCCUGGGGAGUACGGCCGCAAGGUUAAAACUCAAAUGAAUUGACGGGGGCCCGCACAAGCGGUGGAGCAUGUGGUUUAAUUCGAUGCAACGCGAAGAACCUUACCUGGUCUUGACAUCCACAGAACAUUCCAGAGAUGGAUUGGUGCCUUCGGGAACUGUGAGACAGGUGCUGCAUGGCUGUCGUCAGCUCGUGUUGUGAAAUGUUGGGUUAAGUCCCGCAACGAGCGCAACCCUUAUCCUUUGUUGCCAGCGGUCCGGCCGGGAACUCAAAGGAGACUGCCAGUGAUAAACUGGAGGAAGGUGGGGAUGACGUCAAGUCAUCAUGGCCCUUACGACCAGGGCUACACACGUGCUACAAUGGCGCAUACAAAGAGAAGCGACCUCGCGAGAGCAAGCGGACCUCAUAAAGUGCGUCGUAGUCCGGAUUGGAGUCUGCAACUCGACUCCAUGAAGUCGGAAUCGCUAGUAAUCGUGGAUCAGAAUGCCACGGUGAAUACGUUCCCGGGCCUUGUACACACCGCCCGUCACACCAUGGGAGUGGGUUGCAAAAGAAGUAGGUAGCUUAACCUUCGGGAGGGCGCUUACCACUUUGUGAUUCAUGACUGGGGUGAAGUCGUAACAAGGUAACCGUAGGGGAACCUGCGGUUGGAUCACCUCCUUACCUUAAAGAAGC